rnacentral:rRNA from 1 species
CGCGUAGGCGGUUUUGUUAGUCGAAUGUGAAAGCCCCGGGCUUAACCUGGGAAUUGCGUUCGAUACUGCAUAACUAGAGUACGGUAGAGGGAAGUGGAAUUUCGGGUGUAGCGGUGAAAUGCGUGGAUAUCCGGAGGAACACCAGUGGCGAAGGCGACUUCCUGGGCCAGUACUGACGCUGAGGUGCGAAAGCGUGGGGAGCAAACA